UUCAGCCAAUGAUGAGUUGCAACUUUAUUGCCUACAUUGUUUGAAAGUCUGAUAAGAAUUGCAAUUUCUGAGGCUUAA
rfam:Setaria italica strain Yugu1 chromosome II, whole genome shotgun sequence.